rnacentral:rRNA from 1 species
UACGUAGGGUGCAAGCGUUAAUCGGAAUUACUGGGCGUAAAGCGUGCGCAGGCGGUUGUGCAAGACCGAUGUGGAAUCCCCGGGCUUAACCUGGGAAUGGCAUUGGUGACUGCAUGGCUGGAGUGCGGCAGAGGGGGAUGGAAUUCCGCGUGUAGCAGUGAAAUGCGUAGAUAUGCGGAGGAACACUGAUGGCGAAGGCAAUCCCCUGGGCCUGCACUGACGCUCAUGCACGAAAGCGUGGGGAGCAAACAGG